rnacentral:rRNA from 1 species
CUACGAAGGGGGCUAGCGUUGUUCGGAAUUACUGGGCGUAAAGCGCGCGUAGGCGGAUUGGUCAGUUAGGGGUGAAAUCCCAGGGCUUAACCCUGGAACUGCCUCUAAUACUGCCAGUCUUGAGUUCGGGAGAGGUGAGUGGAAUUCCUAGUGUAGAGUUGAAAUUCGUAGAUAUUAGGAAGAACACCAGUGGCGAAGGCGGCUCACUGGCCCGAUACUGACGCUGAGGCGCGAAAGCGUGGGGAGCAAACAGGAUUAGAAACCCUAGUAGUCC